rnacentral:rRNA from 1 species
AACGAACGCUGGCGGCAUGCCUAACACAUGCAAGUCGAACGAGACCUUCGGGUCUAGUGGCGCACGGGUGCGUAACGCGUGGGAACCUGCCCUUAGGUUCGGAAUAACUCCCCGAAAGGGGUGCUAAUACCGGAUAAUGUCUUCGGACCAAAGAUUUAUCGCAUUUGGAUGGGCCCGCGUGGGAUUAGAUAGUUGGGAGGGUAAAAGCCUACCAAGGCGACGAUCCAUAGCUGGUCUGAGAGGAUGAUCAGCCACACUGGGACUGAGACACGGCCCAGACUCCUACGCGAGGCAGCAGUGGGGAAUAUUGGACAAUGGGCGAAAGCCUGAUCCAGCAAUGCCGCGUGAGUGAUGAAGGCCUUAGGGUUGUAAAGCUCUUUUACCCGGGAUGAUAAUGACAGUACCGGGAGAAUAAGCUCCGGCUAACUCCGUG